rnacentral:lncRNA from 1 species
CACCACCAAGUUCUUGGGUGCAUCUCUAACUAAGAUUUUUUUGGUCAUCUAAUACAGCUGCUUUUACAACAAAAAUGGGUUAUUAACAUAUCCAACUAUAUACAUUAGCACUAUAUUUCUGGUAUAGAAUCUGGAAACAAAAUAUAAACAAAAUAAUUUGCACAGGCCUGCUGAUUACUUAUUCUACAAUAGUCUGUAUUAAGAGCCAUUCUCUACUGUACAUUGGCAUCGCGCCCUUCUUCAGCUGCCAUGCAUAACCGAAUUAGCACUUGCGACAGACAAGUUGAAGAUGAUCGCCACCCACUUGAUGAGUCGCGGAGUUGCAUCCUCCGCAGCUCAUGGUCUGAGACCACCACCCAGCUCGGGCCCAGGCAGUUAUUAUACCUGUCCUGGGGUAGGGUUAGGGGUAGCCAUAAAUGCAGGUUCAAUGUUCUCAUUUAUGCUCUUUGUCAGCCUCUUCAAUCUCUUUGGUCUUUGUUGCGUCAUGUCCAUGUGCCGAGAGAGAUCGUCCAGCUCAUAGUCCAUUGGCACUUUGCUAGAUAAGGAGUCAGCAUUUUUGGAGUUCUUUCGAGCCCUAGGUUUCAGUCGAGUUCGCUUGUCUGAGGCUGUUUUCCUCUGCAGAUAGACAAGAUAGGCAUAUUAUUUACAUGUCAUGAUAUGCAGACAAAUCUAAUUAUCUAUUCAAGAAAAUGUCCAUUGCCAGUGAAAUAUUUCAUCAAGUAUAUUGAUCUCAGUUGGUGUAUAAUCCAAAGAGCAUAAAUAUGUAAAAAGAAAUAAAAACUAAAAUACUCGUUAGGUGAAAAUACAUUUCAAAGUAUGUAUCAGAUUCUGGAACAUUGUAUUCCAAUUUCCAUCCUACUCAGAAAAAUUGAUGAUACUCAGGACUCAGGAGUCAUCUAGUUUGGUUAAAAUGUUAUAGGAUCCCAUGACAACAAACAAAGCAGUAAUUUGAAACGGAGAAGAGAAUGUUUGGACAAGCUUAAAAAUAGGUAAGAGUUAUAUUAACAACUUCAGUCUUCUUGAAUCCAAA